rnacentral:lncRNA from 1 species
AUGUACCAUCUUUCUUUUUCACUGUGGAAAGAACCUGGAAGAACUGAACACAGACAUCAUCAUCAGCCAAACCUUCAAGAUGGAAAAGCACAGCUGAAUUUGAAAAGAUAUCAUGUGUUUAUUUCUAUGACAGUGUCUUCUGUUAGCUGGAAAAGAUCUAUAAGGUCAUUUGAAGUUCAUAGCACUUGAAGAUCCUUGUGGCAGUCUUUGAGAUACUGCUGUUCUCUGUGCAAGAAAAACCUUAGCCAGAGCAACCGAGAAAUGUUUUUUGAAUGUGGAAUCUUCUGUAGUACACACUGCAAACUUAGGGAAGACAAUGUAAAUUACAGAAAAUUUCUGCCCAAAUUAUUUGCUUGUCUAAACUGUAAACUUUCAAAAAAAUAUUUUUUACAAGGCAGGCUUCUGGG